rnacentral:lncRNA from 1 species
CAAAAUAUUAUAAUCAUAAUAAUUAGGGCCUGCGAGACCCGAUACAUACUCAUGCAAUUUAAUGCUUCAUUUCCAUUUCAUUCAAUUCGCAAUUUCUCAUGCUCAUAAUUUAAAUCAUAUCACUAGCAAUUUCCAUUUAAUUCACGUACAAUUCAAUGACAUCAAGUUCAAAACUAAUACGUAUUUACCAUUUAACUCAAUGUUUAUUGAUUAUACCAUUCAAUAACACAUUUAUGAAAUUCUCAAUUUUGCAAUGAAAAUAUCACUUUAGUUUGAAUAACAACAUCGUCCUGAUAUAAAUACGCUACCACUUAUCCAUUUACUUUAAUUCUUUUGGGCCCAUUUGUCACUUACCAUCCUUAAUCAAAUUAGGGAACGGUCACGGAAAAUUGAGUACUUCACUUUCACUUUGCCAUAGUAUAACUAUGGUCUUACGUAUGAUCACUUAUCACUUGUCCCUGAUCAGAUAAGUGUAGCUAGGCUACCACUUAUCACUUUGCCACUUGAUCAGAUAAGUGUAGCACUUAUCACUUUGUCACUUGAUCAGAUAAGUGUAGCUAAAGCUACCACUUAUCACUUUGUCUCUUGAUCAGAUAAGUUUAGCACUUAUCACUUUGUCACUUGAUCAGAUAAGUAUAACCACUUAUCACUUUGUUUCUUGAUCAGAUAAGUGUAACCACUUAUCACUUUGUUUCUUGAUCAGAUAAGUGUAACCACUUAUCACUUUGUUUCUUGAUCAGAUAAGUGUAGCAACUUAUCACUUUGUCACUUGAUCAGAUAAGUGUAGCUAAAACUACCACUUAUCACUUUUUCACUUGAUCAGAAGUACUCAAAUCCGGCGUUCCGCUCAAUUUGACCAUUUAUUCAUAUAUCAGGCUUACCAACAUGUGUUAAUUCAUAAACCAUUCAUGACAUUAUUUCAUGCCACAUCAUAUAUUGAAUAUACCAUACACACAUACUAUGAAACUUUCUUUUCACACAUGCCAUGACCAAUAAUGCACAAAUAUAAGUAUAAUUCAUAUUUCAUCGUUUAUCAAUUAAAAUCAAGCAUAUGACCAAUUAUACACAAAUCAUUCAUAUAUUUCCCAAUUUUCCUCCUCCUCCUCUCCAUUCCACAUCCUUAAUGUGUAUAACACACUUAAACAACAUUAACCAUAAUUUCAAUAUUCACUAACAUAUAUAUAUUCAAAGCUGUUUAUCCGAGUCAAAGUCACUAAAUUAUUUUUAUCCAGAGCUAAAGAGCUCCAAAUUAAGAUCCGUUAAUUUUCCCUGAAACUAGACUCACAUAUCUUCAUACCAUAAAAUUUUCAGAAUUUUUGGUUCAGCCAAAUAGUACAGUUUAUUCUUUAAAGUUUCCCCUGUUUCGCUGUCUGACAGUUCCGACCACUCUUUACU